rnacentral:tRNA from 1 species
AUCGAGGUCGGUUAAUGGUAAACCUGCGGACUCCAAACCCGCGACUGGUAGGUUCGAUUCCUCCCCUCGGUG